rnacentral:rRNA from 1 species
AGAGUUUGAUCCUGGCUCAGGAUGAACGCUAGCGGCAGGCUUAAUACAUGCAAGUCGAACGGCAGCAUGAGACCUUGCUUCCGCUGACGACCGGCGCACGGGUGAGUAACGCGUAUGCAACCUGCCUCAAACUGGGGAAUAGCCCAGAGAAAUUUGGAUUAAUACCCUAUAAUAUACAGAAUGCGCAUGUUUUCUGUAUUAAAGUUCAGACGGUUUGAGAUGGGCAUGCGUGACAUUAGCUUGUUGGUGAGGUAACGGCUCACCAAGGCAACGAUGUCUAGGGGGUCUUAAAGGAUGAUCCCCCACACUGGUACUGAGACACGGACCAGACUCCUACGGGAGGCAGCAGUGAGGAAUAUUGGUCAAUGGGCGCAAGCCUGAACCAGCCAUCCCGCGUGUAGGAUGAAAGCCCUAUGCGUUGUAAACUACUUUUUUAUGGGAAGAAAAUUCUGUACGUGUACAGAACUGACGGUACCAUACGAAUAAGCAUCGGCUAACUCCGUGCCAGCAGCCGCGGUAAUACGGAGGAUGCAAGCGUUAUCCGGAUUUAUUAGGUUUAAAGGGUGUGUAGGCGGAGCAGUAAGUCAGUGGUGAAAUCCUGCGGCUUAACCGUAGAACUGCCAUUGAAACUACUGCCCUUGAGUACAGUUGAGGUAGGCGGAAUGUGUCAUGUAGCGGUCAAAUGCAUAAAGAUGACACAGAACACCGAUUGCGUAGGCAGCUUACUAAACUGUCACUGACGCUGAGGCACGAAAGCGUGGGUAGCGAACAGGAUUAGAUACCCUGGUAGUCCACGCCGUAAACGAUGAUCACUCGUUGUUAGCGAAAUAUUCUUAGCGACUGAGCGAAAGCAUUAAGUGAUCCACCUGGGGAGUACGUUGGCAACAAUGAAACUCAAAGGAAUUGACGGGGGCCCGCACAAGCGGAGGAACUUGUGGUUUAAUUCGAUGAUACGCGAGGAACCUUACCUGGGCUUAAAUGUAGAGCGACCGCUGCCGAAAGGAGUAUUCCUUCGGGCACUUUACAAGGUGCUGCAUGGUUGUCGUCAGCUCGUGCCGUGAGGUGUCGGGUUAAGUCCCAUAACGAGCGCAACCCCUAUUCUUAGUUGCCAGCGGGUCAUGCCGGGGACUCUAAGGAGACUGCCAGCGUAAGCUGUGAGGAAGGUGGGGAUGACGUCAAGUCAGCACGGCCCUUACGUCCAGGGCUACACACGUGUUACAAUGGCCGGUACAAAGGGCAGCUACCAGGUGACUGGAUGCUAAUCUCUAAAGUCGGUCUUAGUUCGGAUCGAAGUCUGCAAACCGACUUCGUGAAGCUGGAAUCGCUAGUAAUCGCGCAUCAGCCAUGGCGCGGUGAAUACGUUCCCGGGCCUUGUACACACCGCCCGUCAAGCCAUGGAAGUUGGGGGUACCUGAAGUCUGUCACCGUAAGGAGCGGCCUAGGGUAAAACUGAGACUGG